rnacentral:tRNA from 1 species
GACAUGAUGGCCGAGUGGUCUAAGGCGGUAUGCAUUCCCUUUAUCACUUAGAUUCUCCAAGAAAUGUAACAAUAGUCACAGGUAGAUUUAAGCUUCUUCGAGCAACUCUAUUGGAGCAAUCCGCGUGAGUUCGAACCUCACUCAUGUCA